UACACUCCUACGGGAGGCAGCAGUGGGGAAUAUUGGACAAUGGGCGCAAGCCUGAUCCAGCCAUGCCGCGUGAGUGAUGAAGGCCCUAGGGUUGUAAAGCUCUUUCACCGGUGAAGAUAAUGACGGUAACCGGAGAAGAAGCCCCGGCUAACUUCGUGCCAGCAGCCGCGGUAAUACGAAGGGGGCUAGCGUUGUUCGGAUUUACUGGGCGUAAAGCGCACGUAGGCGGACUAUUAAGUCAGGGGUGAAAUCCCGGGGCUCAACCCCGGAACUGCCUUUGAUACUGGUAGUCUUGAGUUCGAGAGAGGUGAGUGGAAUUCCGAGUGUAGAGGUGAAAUUCGUAGAUAUUCGGAGGAACACCAGUGGCGAAGGCGGCUCACUGGCUCGAUACUGACGCUGAGGUGCGAAAGCGUGGGGAGCAAACAGGAUUAGAAACCCCGGCAGUCCCAUGAU
rnacentral:rRNA from 1 species